CAGUAGCCGCGGGAAUACGGAGGGGGCUAGCGUUAUUCGGAAUUACUGGGCGUAAAGCGCACGUAGGCGGAUCAGAAAGUCAGAGGUGAAAUCCCAGGGCUCAACCUUGGAACUGCCUUUGAAACUCCUGAUCUUGAAGUCGAGAGAGGUGAGUGGAAUUCCGAGUGUAGAGGUGAAAUUCGUAGAUAUUCGGAGGAACACCAGUGGCGAAGGCGGCUCACUGGCUCGAUACUGACGCUGAGGUGCGAAAGCGUGGGGAGCAAACAGGAUUAGAUACCCCAUAGUCCCUGUCUCUUAUACA
rnacentral:rRNA from 1 species